CGACGCGGGUACCCGCGCGGGAAGAGGGAAGGUGUCCGACGGGCGAGGAGGACAUUCCCCUCGCGAAAAGGUAAAAAGGUAUAAAAGAGCGCGACCGAGAGACCCCUGGGGUUCUCUGACCUCGCUACACCUGACCUUCCCCUACGGAUUUACCCGCUGCAACCCGAUCAAGUCAUUCUUCCUCUCCAACAACUGCUGAAAAUGAGAAGUUGCAGUAGGGACACCUCCGCCACUGUGACUUCUUUGACUACAAAACUGAAAAACUGUUAUGUCUGAAAGCACACAGAAGGGCCCACACAGGCGAGCAUCUUCAUUCUUCCUCUCCAACUGUCGAGUAUGACAAGUCACACCAAGGACGCCUCCACCGCUGUGAUUUCUGUGACUAUGAAACUAAAAGGCUGUUUGAUCUGAAAAAACAUAACAGGGUCCACACAGGCGAGCGUCCAUUUCAGUGCCAUUUGUGCCCUCAGAGUUGCUCGCAAAAGUCCAAGUUGAAGGAACACCUGCGCAUCCACACAGGCGAGAAGCCAUUUCAGUGCCCUUCAUGCCCACUGAGCUUCUCACAAAGGCACAGCCUGAAUGAUCAUUUGUGCAUCCACUCAGGUGAACGGCAGUAUCAGUGCCCUUUGUGCCCUCUGACUUUUGUGAAUAGCUACCGCCUGAAGAGGCACACACGCACCCACACGGGCGAGCGACCAUACCGCUGCUUCGUCUGCUCCAGGUCAUUUGUGCAGUCUUUUGACUUUGACAGACACAUGAAAAAACACCACCAUUACACCAAUCAGUAGGUCACCAGAGAGGUAGGUGUGCAUUAUAUAUUAGUCUAACUAUGAAUCUACUCUUGCAUAAUAUACUGCAUGGUGUUCUGGUGCAUCAGGAAGCAAGUGUUGUGCUUUGUUCUUAUAUGUUGAACUGCUAGAUGAUUUGGCAGGAUGUUCCAGCAUAACCUAACAAGUUGUCGGGACAUUUGUUGUAGUGACAUUGCUUGCAUUACAGUAGCCAUGUACUUAUGGUAUGCCAUCAUGUGAAAGCACAACCAGUUAGCAGCGGUCAUCUGUCGACUAUGCCUUUAAAACAUAUGUGUGUGCAGUAAAAUAGUCAUGAUAAAUUCUAAAUGUUAGGCCAAUGAUCAAUGCUUGUUGUGUCCUCCAAAUAUACUGCUGCCUAAGUGAACAGAGUUAAAAAAAUGCAGCAGAUUGAACGAGUUGGAAUCUUGUAUAUACAGUGAAGCUUUAUGUGAGUGCAUAAAGAGUGAAAACAUGAGCACACGCACACAGGCAGACAGACAGAGAGGGAGAGCACGGGUGUGCACGUGCACGCAUGUGUGCGCACACACAGAAACAAUGCGUGCACACACACAGAAAAAAGCGCAGGCACACAAAUUAUGCUGAGCCUUUUGUUAAGGAGAGUUGCUGACUACUAGCGAGUACAACGGAUGCCUUGAACACAUCGUGGUUUCAGAGGCAGCAUGUGCAUACAUACGUAGUGCAAUUCGAAUUUUAUCUGCAAGGAGUGUUUACUUCCUCAUUACCGUGUAGCCGCAGAUGUGCGAAGGCACGCUUUCUGGUUCUUUUUUUUUUUCUAUCCCCGGUACGGCCGGCGCCACUGCAGACAUCAGCAUCUGCAAAUCAUGUCAUUUAAAACAGGAAGAGCUGCAACGGUAGCAGCAGUGUGGUUCUAUUAUGCUAAAACACACUAAUGGAAUUUGAAUGAAACUAUCAGUACAAAACAGGCUCCGUGCGAGUUUUACUUUGAGUGAUGGUGAGCGCUAGUAACGAUGCAUGCCGUAUGUAUGACAGUGCUGUUGGCAGAUGAGGCAAAAUAAAAGCUCCUUAUUGAGCAGCCCUGCCCUGCCUUCAUGCCGUUACCUUUUUGACGUAUGGUCGUUACUCUUUUGACGAAUGGUAAUGGCUACAAAAUACAGACGCUGUGGUUUCACUAGCAACAUGUUUCUUUACCUAAUACUACCAUGACCAUGAUAACGUGCUGAUUCCGACAGAAAUCGCUCAUUGAGUCCCAAUAUGAAGUUUGCUUGAUUCCGUGCUCAAAAUAAAACCUAUCAUAACUUCAGCUGAAAGCCUGUGCACUUGAGGAGUCCCGUCGCAGGGACUGACAAACAGUCAGUCGGCAUUUCUGAUGUGACAAUCAGCCUAGUGUUCUGUUGCUCCUUGCACCAUGCCUUACUGCAUUGUGGUUGCCCAAACUACUGCUCCAGCCAUCUUCAUGGCAAACUAAUUUAAUGGCGGACACAGCAGAAACAAGCUCCUUGAAAAAAUAUAAAUUCCACUUUUGCUAUAAAAUGUGUUGUGUUCUCGAGUGUGCAAGACACAGUGGAGGCCAUUUAGCGCAGUUUACGAAUCACGAGCCUCAGUGAUUCAUUGGAUGACGUCGCAAUCCUCUUAACCAAUUAGAGCCCAUUAACCAACCCGUGGUGUCUCUCGCAGCCGCUGCUGCUCAUCUUUGUUAAAGAAAUGUGACUUCUGGUGAUUUGUAGCCAGCUAAAAGGGUAUUUUUGUAUUUGGGGAGGGAAAAACUAAUAUUUUGCUAAAAGCUCAAAUUUUUCAAGAAAAGCUUCAGUUUCCCUUUAAGCAAUAUGGCUGCAUUCGAAGAACAACCUAUUUCAUAAUCUUGUUGGCAUCUUUUUCUCUGCAUUCACCACUACUUUGCUGCAUACAAUGAUUUGAAAGUGAGAGAUGUCCAGCAAUCCUGUCUCAUGUUUACGUCAUUUUGUCACUUGCAUAUCGUCUCAACAAAACACACCUUGCAACUCUCAUUUAUUGCGUCUAACUUGACUAUGUACUUGUCUUUUUCCCCCUCUUGAAACACGGGGUAAUCUGUAAGAUUGCACCAUGCCAUAGUAUUCAGCGUAGUGACAAAAGAAUGAUAUGAAAACAAUAAUUGAAAUUGUGGUCCUCAGCACCAGUACCAUGUGGCUUCUUGGUCAUAGCAGUGCUUAUUCCACACUUCAUUCCAGAUAACACCUCUACCGUGGCUUCCAUCCAAUAUCUAUCCGUAAAAUGUAUUGGCUGGCUUCAAACUCUAAAAGCUUAUUGUAGCGCCUGUUCUCUACACUACUUUAGGGCUAGGGUGAACUUCUUCACUGUGUCAAUUUUCCUGCAGGUGCUUCUAUGAUUCUGCUGUUCAGUUUGAGGUACCUUUAUUCUUUAUACAUUUAGAUAUACUGUCAUGCUAUCUUGUCCUUUUUGCUGCUGACUCUGUCAGUACAUUAUGGUAGCAUGUGGAACUUAUUCAGUCAUAUGAGUUAUGCUAUGCAAAGUUUUAUAAGGUAUUGCAUGCACAGCCUUUGUCAAAGGAAGUGAAGACAAUAGGAGCACGAGUGCUGCCUCGUCUUUGAGGAAUUCUCAGUGCUGGAAAGCUGUGAGGAGUGAGUACUCUCUGAUGCUUUGACUGAUGCCAACACAGCAGGAGGCCGACAAGACAUUUCGUAUUCAGCUGCUAUCAGUAACAUGGUGAUUCUCUUUCUUUCGGCAAAGGCUGUGCAUAUUGUAUUUUGCCUUGCAGCUGGCGUGAGAAGUUGAUUCUUGGCAGCACUGUUCUCCAUUUUUUUUCUACCUGCAUGUGUAUCACCAGUAAAUUAACAAUGCUAUGUUCGCAUUCCCACUAUGUAGCAAAUUUAGAAUCUGUGAUGACUUUUGUUCAUGGCUGUACCUUUGUGAAUUUUCCUUCAUCACUCACUGUAGCUGGUGCCGUCAGUACUUUUUACAGGCGCGUGGUAAUAUAGGAUGUUUUAUGUUCGUCUCACAUUUUUGUUGUCUAUUUAAAAUGUGUACUCUUCCUUGGAGCUUUAUUUCUUAUUACUCUGUUUGAGCCAUGUCACAUUCUUCUUGGAUGCAAGCAUUCCUUUACAGUAAUUGAAUAAUUUUGGUUCAGUUAGAAUUCAUUUCACACAGUCUUUUUUGGAGCAUUGUAAAAAUCAGGGUGCUUUGUGAAUGUACUGUUAAGCAUUGUUUAUAUGUUGUUUUUUGCUCGCACCUAUACAAGUAACCUUCUUUGCAAUUGUCUGUUGAUAAACUCAAUCUUUCUCUUUCUUAGUUCUACUAUCCUUAGCAUUUUUAUUCUGUUAGAUCCUCCAAGAGAAUUUCAGUGAUGGCAUUUGGAAGUUUCAAUUGCUAUUGCCAUUGAAAGCACUUGCUAUGACAGAUAUUUAUCAGAAACUUAGAUUGUAUGCCAGUUCUUAAGACCCAUGUGCUUUCUUGAUUCCGACAUUUGUUCAUGUAAGACACCGGCAAUUCUGAAGCCACUGGUGCUACAUUUUUCUCUAGUACAGAGUUCACACAGAUUCUUAAAGGCUUGAAAAUUCUUUAAAUUGAAAAUCACAUUUUCAGUGCCUUGAAUGCCCUGGAAUUUUGAUGGUUCCUUAACCAUUCUUAAAUUCUCCUUUAACAGUUACAGUCGUUGAAUGAAUAAUCAGACUUGCAGAGGGUCACCAAAAUUUGAAAAUGAGGAGUCCAGAAAACUACCUUUAUUCUGUAAGUUGCUGGGAAAAUUUGUCAGUGCAUUAUCAUAUGCACCUGCCCUGAUGCAUGACAUGUCAGUAUGUAUUCUGCACAAUGGUAUGAUAAAAAUAUUUGCAAUCCCUAGCACCAAAUUCGUAGUCAAUGGCUGUGUUUUAAGUGGCAUGCCAUGCUCGCAUUUUGCAUGUCAUGGCUCUCAAACACUUUGUGGGCAGUCUCCUUGUUGCCAUAGGGAGAAAAAUUUGCAACAGCAGACCAUACUCGGAAAUUGUCUGUGACCAUUGACGUAGCCAGGGAAGGGGUUUGGGGGGGUCGAAACCCCCCUCCCCCUGAAAUUUUCUGACAAACCCACUCCCUUUCCCACGGAACAGAAAGUUUCAGGAGAUGGGCUCCUAAAGAGCGACAUGAAUAAAAGGGAAAGCUUGAAUGUGAAAGAACGGCGAGGGCUAGUGGCAGACCAAAAGUGUUUGGGGGGGGGGAGGCGUUGUCAUGGGGGCAAUCCCCUCUCCCAUGCACGGAACAUUGCGGCCCCACUCAUGGUGUGCCUCUGCCUCAUUCUGGAUCGUGUUAACUAUAACUGCUGAGGGGUAUCAGUGCUGAAACUUGCAUACAGAUAAAAAUGGGACGAGCGCGUGCAUAAAACUUAGGGGCAUUGUCUAUCCCCACCAGGCCUUCGUGUCGUCGAAGAGCGUCUCACUUCUGGUACUUGACAGAAUCGUCGGCCACGCUUCGCGAAAGAAAAGCAUUCUGAAAGUAUUGCGACUUGCUUAUCUAGGCAAUGCAUAAUAAGCACACCUCCCCCCCCCCCUUUUUUUUUUUCUUUUUCUGUCCCUUGUCUCUGACUUUCAUUGCCAUUAUCCGUGUUAUUUCUCCCCUUCUGCAUAAACAAAAAUAAUCUGUGUUCGUUUUAUAACACAUGAGGGAAAAAAAAUGAUGCUAGAGAUCCAUCACCCUAAAAGAAAGAGAAAAAGACACUGAAAGGGUUAAAUGCUCUCUUAAUUAAUAACUAUAAAAUGCUCUUCCACCACUUCAGAUUUAUUCAGUAUUUGGUUUUUGUAUCUGUCAUGAAACAAUAAUCUGGCAAAGAUAGUACCUUGCCAUAAGAUACAAACUGGGGAAGCUAAACUGAUAUAAAAACAUGAAUUGAAAUUUCGGUCCUCAGUACUUUUUAUGGUGCAUGAUGGGAUGUUAUCUUUUUCUAUUAGACCCAUGUUUUGUCGCCUCUAGGUUCCAGUGCUACUGUUCCUUGUGGAGUUCUUAUCUUUUAUUGUAUAUUCAGUUUGAGCUUUAUUUUCUUCUAGCUCAUAAAUGUUCCUUUACAGCAAUUGAGUACUUAACCUUGCUUAAAAAUUCAAUUCACACUGUGUCUCUGAAAACUAAGUAAAUUACUGUUUUUGAAACCUGCAUUGUUAAUUGUUGUUGAUAUGUUAAUGCAUGCACUAAUGGCAUAUAAUCAUCCUUUUAUAUUAACAGUUUAUUGUGUUGGAUGCUAAAAGCGGUGAUGGAACUUGAAUCCUCUUUAUUUUUGCCAUGAAAUGCGCUUUUGUGAAAAAUUCAUCAGCAAUUCAAAUUUUGAGCUUCGUGUUAUGAUCUAUGUUCUUAUUUCAUUCUGCUUUACUCAUUAUGUUUAUACUGUGUAAUAAUGCACAUUAUUGGACAAAGUUAAACAUGUGAGCACAUUAGCACUAUAAGCCCAGUGGACCAUUUAUAUAUUGCGUGGAGUACUAGAUGAUUCAUUACAUAAUUUAUUUUUAUGCUCUGCAGUGCCUGUUGUGUUAUUCUUUUGUGUGGUAAAAGCAAUGGAGUACUAUGGCCUAUCGUUAGUUGUAUUCUCUACCAUGGACAUGAACGUGGAGUGCAUUGAUGGAGCGCAUUUCUUGUUCCAAGUUGAGCUACCUAUUGCAUUGCAAAUCACAUACUUGGUUGACUUUUUUUUUUUUUUUGCAAAGUGUGCAUAAUCUUAUUCUUCAGUGUUCAUUAUCAAUCUAUGUCGUUGUUUGUAGGUUAUUGAUGUCUUGCAUGCUUGGUAAACAAACAGUGACUCAUUAAAGCAACUCAGAUGUUGAAAAUAAACAAGUGGAAAUGCUGAAUCAGAAUCUGACCAUACUACGGAGACAUAGUGAUCAUUGAGCAUUGCUGGGUGUUCUAAGCAUCAUGUAUGUAGUAAAUAGCUUAGGUGACAAAUUACCAGCGUAAAACCACGAAAAACUUGUCAAAACAAAGCAUGCUCGACCAAGAAGAUCUGGUCUCAAUUCAACACAUUGUGCAAGUGUGCUCCUUGUAGCCUCAGAAUUGUAUGUUAACGCUUUCACUUGAAACAAAAAAUGUGUGGGGGGAGGCCUUGGUUUUGUAACGUUAGUGCAAAGGGGUGACCUCACAUUUGUAAGUUUGCGUUUUGUACAAUCAUGUGGUUGAGGAGAUUGUACUUAUCCAGGAGAGUGUUUAUUUUGGCAUUCCGCUGAAAACAUCACUUGG